rnacentral:rRNA from 1 species
GGGCCCGCACAAGCGGUGGAGCAUGUGGUUUAAUUCGAUGAUACGCGAGGAACCUUACCAGGGCUUAAAUGCAGAACGACAGAGGUGGAAACACCUCCUUCUUCGGACGGUCUGCAAGGUGCUGCAUGGUUGUCGUCAGCUCGUGCUGUGAAGUGUCGGGUUAAGUCCCAUAACGAGCGCAACCCCUAUUUCUAGUUGCCAGCGGUUCGGCCGGGGACUCUAGAGAAACUGCCAGCGUAAGCUGUGAGGAAGGUGGGGAUGACGUCAAAUCAUCACGGCCCUUACGUCCUGGGCUACACACGUGCUACAAUGGUAGGGACAGAGGGAAGCUACCCCGCAAGGGGAUG